AGUGAACGCUGGCGGUAGGCCUAACACAUGCAAGUCGAACGGCAGCACAGUAAGAGCUUGCUCUUACGGGUGGCGAGUGGCGGACGGGUGAGGAAUACAUCGGAAUCUACUUUUUCGUGGGGGAUAACGUAGGGAAACUUACGCUAAUACCGCAUACGACCUACGGGUGAAAGCAGGGGAUCUUCGGACCUUGCGCGAUUGAAUGAGCCGAUGUCGGAUUAGCUAGUUGGCGGGGUAAAGGCCCACCAAGGCGACGAUCCGUAGCUGGUCUGAGAGGAUGAUCAGCCACACUGGAACUGAGACACGGUCCAGACUCCUACGGUAGGCAGCAGUGGGGAAUAUUGGACAAUGGGGGCAAGCCUGAUCCAGCCAUACCGCGUGGGUGAAGAAGGCCUUCGGGUUGUAAAGCCCUUUUGUUGGGAAAGAAAAGCAGCAGGUUAAUACCCCGCUGUUCUGACGGUACCCAAAGAAUAAGCACCGGCUAACUUCGUG
rnacentral:rRNA from 1 species